rnacentral:rRNA from 1 species
AUUGAACGCUGGCGGCAGGCUUAACACAUGCAAGUCGAGCGAGCGGCGGACGGGUGAGUAAUGUCUGGGAAACUGCCUGAUGGAGGGGGAUAACUACUGGAAACGGUAGCUAAUACCGCAUACCAUCAGAUGUGCCCAGAUGGGAUUAGCUAGUCGGUGGGGUAAUGGCUAACAUAGGCGACGAGCCCUAGCUGGUCUGAGAGGAUGACCAGUGAGACGGGAACAGAGACACGGUGCAGACUCUGACGUGAGGCAGGAGUGGGGAAUAUUGAACAAUGGUCGCAAGCAUGAUGAAGCCAUGCCGAGUGUGGGAAGAAGGCCUUCGGGUUGUAAAGCACUUUAAGCGAGGAGGCGUUACUCGCAGAAGAAGCACCGGCUAACUCCGUGCCAGCAGCCGCGGUAAUAC